ACUCCUACGGGAGGCAGCAGUGGGGAAUAUUGCGCAAUGGGCGAAAGCCUGACGCAGCAACGCCGCGUGAGUGAUGAAGGUUUUCGGAUCGUAAAGCUCUGUCGGCAGGGAAGAACACCUUGUGGGGUAAUACUCCAUGAGGCUGACGGUACCUGCAAAGGAAGCACCGGCUAACUCUGUGCCAGCAGCCGCGGUAAUACAGAGGGUGCAAGCGUUGUUCGGAAUUACUGGGCGUAAAGGGCGCGUAGGCGGUCUGUUAAGUCUGAUGUGAAAGCCCUCGGCUCAACCGAGGAAGUGCAUUGGAUACUGGCAGACUAGAGUAUGAGAGGGGAAAGUGGAAUUCCAGGUGUAGCGGUGAAAUGCGUAGAUAUCUGGAGGAACACCGGUGGCGAAGGCGGCUUUCUGGAUCAUUACUGACGCUGAGGCGCGAAAGCGUGGGGAGCAAACAGGAUUAGAAACCCUAGUAGUCC
rnacentral:rRNA from 1 species